rnacentral:rRNA from 1 species
UACGUAGGGUGCGAGCGUUAAUCGGAAUUACUGGGCGUAAAGUGUGCGCAGGCGGCCGCGCAAGUCGAGUGUGAAAUCCCCGAGCUUAACUUGGGAAUUGCGCUCGAAACUACGUGGCUGGAGUGUGGCAGAGGAAGGUGGAAUUCCACGUGUAGCGGUGAAAUGCGUAGAUAUGUGGAGGAACACCGAUGGCGAAGGCAGCCUUCUGGGCCGAUACUGACGCUGAGGAGCGAAAGCGUGGGGAGCGAACAGG